rnacentral:rRNA from 1 species
GACGAACGCUGGCGGCGUGCUUAACACAUGCAAGUCGAACGGUAAGGCCCUUCGGGGUACGCGAGUGGCGAACGGGUGAGUAACACGUGGGUGAUCUGCCCUGCACUUCGGGAUAAGCCUGGGAAACUGGGUCUAAUACCGGAUAGGACUCCGGACUGCAUGGUCUGGGGUGGAAAGCUUUUGCGGUGUGGGAUGGGCCCGCGGCCUAUCAGCUUGUUGGUGGGGUGAUGGCCUACCAAGGCGACGACGGGUAGCCGGCCUGAGAGGGUGACCGGCCACACUGGGACUGAGAUACGGCCCAGACUCCUACGGGAGGCAGCAGUAGGGAAUAUUGCACAAUGGGCGCAAGCCUGAUGCAGCGACGCCGCGUGAGGGAUGACGGCCUUCGGGUUGUAAACCUCUUUCAGCAUCGACGAAGCGAAAGUGACGGUAGGUGCAGAAGAAGGACCGGCCAACUACGUGCCAGCCGCCGCGGUAA